rnacentral:rRNA from 1 species
GAUGAACGCUGACAGAAUGCUUAACACAUGCAAGUCUACUUGAUCCUUCGGGUGAUGGUGGCGGACGGGUGAGUAACGCGUAAAGAACUUGCCCUGCAGUCUGGGACAACAUUUGGAAACGAAUGCUAAUACCGGAUAUUAUGUGAGUUUCGCAUGAAAUUCAUAUGAAAGCUAUAUGCGCUGCAGGAGAGCUUUGCGUCCUAUUAGCUAGUUGGCGGGGUAACGGCCCACCAAAGCGACGAUCAGUAGCCGGCCUGAGAGGGCGAUCGGCCACAUUGGGACUGAGACACGGCCCAA